UACAGAGGGUGCGAGCGUUGUUCGGAAUUAUUGGGCGUAAAGGGCGCGUAGGCGGUGCCACAAGUCACUUGUGAAAUCCCCGGGCUUAACUCGGGGCCUGCAGGCGAAACUGUGGUGCUGGAGUGUGGGAGAGGUGCGUGGAAUUCCCGGUGUAGCGGUGAAAUGCGUAGAUAUCUGCAGGAACACCCGUGGCGAAAGCGGCGCGCUGGACCACUACUGACGCUGAGUGAACGAAAGCUAGGGGAGCAAACAGG
rnacentral:rRNA from 1 species